UAGAUCAGAAGCGAGAAUGUUGACAUGAGUAGCGACAAACAGGGUGAGAAACCCUGUCGCCGAAAGUCCAAGGGUUCCUGCUUAAAGCUAAUCUGAGCAGGGUAAGCCGGCCCCUAAGGCGAGGCCGAAAGGCGUAGUCGAUGGGAACCAGGUUAAUAUUCCUGGGCCAGUGGAUGUGACGGAUCGCAGAUGUAGUUUGCCCUUAUCGGAUUGGGUGGGCUGCUGAGCGGUUCCAGGAAAUAGCCCCACAUCAGACCGUACCCUAAACCGACACAGGUGGACUGGUAGAGUAUACCAAGGCGCUUGAGAGAACCACGUUAAAGGAACUCGGCAAAAUGCCUCCGUAAGUUCGCGAGAAGGAGGCCCCAUAUGUACGCAAGUAUGUGUGGGGGGCACAAACUAGGGGGUGGCGACUGUUUACUUAAAACACAGGGCUGUGCGAAGCCGUAAGGCGACGUAUACAGUCUGACGCCUGCCCGGUGCUGGAAGAUUAAGAGGAGGGGUGCAAGCUCUGAAUUGAAGUCCCAGUAAACGGCGGCCGUAACAAUAACGGUCCUAAGGUAGCGAAAUUCCUUGUCGGGUAAGUUCCGACCUGCACGAAUGGCGUAACGAUCUCCCCGCUGUCUCUAACGUGGACUCAGCGAAAUUGAACUGUGUGUCAAGAUGCACACUACCCGCGGUUAGACGGAAAGACCCCAUGAACCUUUACUCCAGCUUUGCACUGGUAUCAGGAUUGUGAUGUGCAGGAUAGGUGGUAGGCAUUGAAGCGGGGACGCCAGUCUUCGUGGAGCCUCCCUUGAGAUACCACCCUUCGCCAUCUUGAUAUCUAACCGCGGCCCGUUAUCCGGGUCCGGGACCCUGCAUGGUGGGGAGUUUGACUGGGGCGGUCGCCUCCCAAACAGUAACGGAGGCGCGCGAUGGUUGGCUCAGACCGGUCGGAAAUCGGUCGUUGAGUGCAAUGGCAGAAGCCAGCCUGACUGCAAGACUGACAAGUCGAGCAGAGACGAAAGUCGGUCAUAGUGAUCCGGUGGUCCCAAGUGGGAGGGCCAUCGCUCAACGGAUAAAAGGUACUCUGGGGAUAACAGGCUGAUGAUGCCCAAGAGUCCAUAUCGACGGCAUCGUUUGGCACCUCGAUGUCGGCUCAUCUCAUCCUGGGGCUGGAGCAGGUCCCAAGGGUAUGGCUGUUCGCCAUUUAAAGAGGUACGUGAGCUGGGUUUAGAACGUCGUGAGACAGUUCGGUCCCUAUCUGCCGUGGGUGCAGGAGACUUGAGAAGAGUUGACCCUAGUACGAGAGGACCGGGUUGAACGAACCACUGGUGGACCAGUUAUCGUGCCAACGGUAGUGCUGGGUAGCUAUGUUCGGACAGGAUAACCGCUGAAGGCAUCUAAGCGGGAAGCCCCCUUCAAAACAAGGUCUCCCUUGAGGGCCGUGGAAGACGACCACGUCGAUAGGCCAGAGGUGUAAGUGCAGCAAUGCAUUCAGCUGACUGGUACUAAUUGCCC
rnacentral:rRNA from 1 species